GAGUUUGAUCCUGGCUCAGAAUAAACGCUAGCGGCAGGCCUAACACAUGCAAGUCGGGCGGUAACAGGAGUAGCAAUACUUGCUGACGAGCGGCAGACGGGUGAGUAACGCGUAUGCAACCUUCCCCCCGCACGGGGACAGCCUUCCGAAAGGAGGAUUGAUACCCGAUAGCCUCAUAUAGCGGCAUCGCUAUAUGAUUAAAGAUUCAUCGGCAGGGGAUGGGCAUGCGUGGCAUUAGCUAGACGGCGGGGUAACGGCCCACCGUGGCGAUGAUGCCUAGGGGUUCUAAAAGGAAGGUCCCCCACAUCGGUACUGAGACACGGACCGAACUCCUACGGGAGGCAGCAGUGAGGAAUAUUGGACAAUGGGGGCAACCCUGAUCCAGCCAAACCGCUUUAAGGACGAAGGCCCUAGUGGUCGUAAACUUCUUUUGCUUGGGGAUAACUUGGGGCACGCGUGCCUUAUUGAAGGUACCAAGCGAAUAAGCACCGGCUAACUCCGUGCCAGCAGCCGCGGUAAUACGGAGGGUGCAGGCGUUAUCCGGAAUUAUUAGGUUUAAAGGGUGCGCAGGCGGACAGUUAAGUCGGCGGUGAAAUACCGGGGCCCAACCCCGGGGCUGCCAUCGAUACUGACAGUCUUGAGUGCGGACGAGGAAGGCGGAAUGUGGCGUGUAGCGGUGAAAUGCUUAGAUAUGCCACAGAACACCGAUUGCGAAGGCAGCCUUCCAGUGCGCCACUGACGCUCAUGCACGAAAGCGCGGGUAGCGAACAGGAUUAGAUACCCUGGUAGUCCGCGCGGUAAACGAUGAUCACUCACUGUCGGGGCUUAUGCUCCGGUGGCCAAGCGAAAGCGAUAAGUGAUCCACCUGGGGAGUACGGCGGCAACGCUGAAACUCAAAGGAAUUGACGGGGGCCCGCACAAGCGGAGGAACAUGUGGUUUAAUUCGAUGAUACGCGAGGAACCUUACCCGGGCUCGAACGUAAGAUGAGCCUCCAGAGAUGGAGGGGCCCGGCAACGGGAGUCUUACGAGGUGCUGCAUGGUUGUCGUCAGCUCGUGCCGUGAGGUGUCGGGUCAAGUCCCAUAACGAGCGCAACCCCCGUCCAUAGUUGCCAUCGGGUCAAGCCGGGCACUCUAUGGAGACUGCCGCCGUAAGGUGCGAGGAAGGCGGGGAUGACGUCAAAUCAGCACGGCCCUUACGUCCGGGGCGACACACGUGUUACAAUGGCGGGUACAGAGGGCAGCCACCAAGCGAUUGGGAGCCGAUCCCGAAAGCCCGCCCCAGUUCGGACUGGAGUCUGGAACCCGACUCCACGAAGCCGGAUUCGCUAGUAAUCGCGCAUCAGCCAUGGCGCGGUGAAUACGUUCCCGGGCCUUGUACACACCGCCCGUCAAGCCAUGGAAGCCGGAAGUACCUGAAGUCCGUAACCGCGAGGAGCGGCCUAGGGUAAGGCUGGUAACUGGGGCUAAGUCGUAACAAGGUAACCA
rnacentral:rRNA from 1 species